CGGAAAUGGGCAGAGAUAAUGCUGAAUGAAGAAGGCGUGGUUUAGUACGCUGGAAAUAAGUGGGUUAGCGUUAUCGAUGCUUCAAUGAGUGCAAAUUCAGAAGUAGCUGAGGCAGUCUGAGUUUGAGUAGAAGUGUAAAAGCACGGCGUAGCAGUUAUCUUAAUGUGUCUAGCUCCACGUUUGCGUCUUUUUCUGCAAUCAUUUUAAUCUUUUAAAACCAUAGUGACGUUAGAGUCCUAAAAACAGAAGUCUUGAAUUUGCAUGUUUGAAGGUGAUAAAGGAAGCCAGUAUAAUUUUGUGCAGCUGCCUGUAGUAGGCCCAGGAAACGCGUCUUUGUGCAACAACUGAAAAAGCAGCAGCUAUGAACUGGCUCGUGAAACUUUACAUGGUUGGCACCAUGCUGUCAGUACUGUCUGCUCUCAUUGGACUAGUGGAUUCACUAAGUAGCUUGGUCCUGACCCCGAGUCCAGAGUGCAAGGACCUUAAUGUGCAGAAAACUAGUGUGGACAGGUUUGAUCUAAACAAAACCAAACCUCAGAAAGGAGAAGUGGUGAUUCAUGCCAACAAACCAAUUUUCUCAAAUGCGUGAACGAACAAACAGGACCAAAAACGGCUGUCUUUUUUUUUAAUGCCUUUUUAUUUGAUAUAAAAGGAGAAUUUUUUAAUGUGAACAUGUUUUAGUAUGGAGUAUGUAGCCUGACUUGAAGACUGCUUCAGUGAUAUUUAACAUACAAAAAUGUGACAAUUAUAUUUUUUUCUUAAAAGAUACAGAUGUUUAGGAUGUGAGAUGGAAGUUGAACAAAUAACACUAACAAAGAGUUGAGAUUAAGAAAUGGUUUGCAUGGGAUCCCAAUGGGCCCCUAACAUAGUAAAAUACAUGCAGGUCAUGUUUUUUGCCAAAUUAAUUCUGCAGUGUACUCCGUCCAACAGUAUGAGCACCAUUCUGGUGAGAUGCUUUUCUAGCCACUAUAUUGCAGCUGACUGUAACUUGGUUAUGUUUGAAGGAGUUAAUUCCCUGCUGCUUGAAAAUUGCAGAGUGGACAAAAUUGAGAAGUUUUUAUUUUUGAGGUACUUUACACAUAUAGGUUAGUGUUUUAAAAGCCACCACUUGCCCAUUAUGUCCUAUGUUCUCUGUUUUUGGGGAGGCUACAGAAAUUAAAAUAUUUUGUACAUUGAAGCUGGCUGUUACUAGCAAGGUUCGGAGUAUUGUUAUCCUACCCUUGUUGGGCAGAACUAUUCCAAAUACUGUUACUCCAUCAGGUACUGUGUCCUAUUUUUAUUUGUGUAGACAGUACCGUCCUAUUUUUAUUUGUGUAGACAGUACCAUUUAAAAUGUUUAAAGUGGGUGAGUUUGUACAUAGAGCAGUUAUAAGGGAGUAUUAUUUUGCUCUGUUUGUGAAAUUUGUUGCAUUAUAAGGGAAUAUUUGCUCUGUUCAUGAAAAUUGUUACAUUCUAUAUCUGUCUAGUGUAUAUGCAGGAAUACUAAAAUGUCUAGUUAUCUGGAAUCAGUGAGUCACUGAAAAAGUGUAUAUGCAGGAAUACUAAAAUGUCUAGUUAUCUGGAAUCAGUGAGUCACUGAAAGUAAUAUUCUGUGAAAACAUUUGUUCAUUGCAAGGUUGUUUUAGUUUGGCAGUUUAUUGCCUUUUUGAGUUUGUAUCAGUAUGUUACAUAGAAGUGUAUAGACUUUAUGGUGCUAUGACCAUUGUGACUGUGGUUUUAAGGAUCAGCAGUUUACCUGUUGCUGACCUCUCUUGGUCCUGUUGCAUUUUUAGCCUCAUAAUGAUUACUGAAUACUUGGUCAUAUUAACCGAAUCCAGUAUGUAUGCAUUGUCCACACGUGGUUAUUACAUAAAUGGUAAAAAAAAUAAAAUGCUAUUUUUGUACUUGAA